GUGCUCACUUUAGUAGCACAUAUACUAAAAUUGGAGUAAUAAAAGAUAAGCAUGACCCCUGUACAAAGAUUAUAAAACAAAGACAAAAACAAAGAUAGUUAAU
rnacentral:snRNA from 1 species